GCCCGCCUAGCUCAAUCGGAUAGAGCGUCAGACUCUUAUGGCGGGUUAAGCCAAUACCAUGGAUAAUCUGAAGGCUGCCGGUUCGACCCCGGCGGUGGGCU